rnacentral:rRNA from 1 species
UAAGGAAUAUUGGUCAAUGGACGCAAGUCUGAACCAGCCAUGCCGCGUGGAGGAUUAAGGCCCUCUGGGUUGUAAACUCCUUUUAUCUGGGAAGAAAUGUACUUUUUCUUGAGUACUUGACGGUACCAGAGGAAUAAGCACCAGCUAACUCCGUGCCAGCAGCCGCGGUAAUACGGAGGGUGCAAGCGUUAUCCGGAUUCACUGGGUUUAAAGGGUGCGUAGGUGGGCAGGUAAGUCAGUGGUGAAAUCUCCGGGCUUAACCCGGAAACUGCCGUUGAUACUAUUUGUCUUGAAUAUUGUGGAGGUAAGCGGAAUAUGUCAUGUAGCGGUGAAAUGCUUAGAUAUGACAUAGAACACCAAUUGCGAAGGCAGCUUACUACACAAUCAUUGACGCUGAGGCACGAAAGCGUGGGGAUCAAACA